rnacentral:misc_RNA from 1 species
CAAGGUGAGCUACUGGACGAGUACCCCAAUCACCACCCUCAAGCAAAACACUUUCAUCACCAUAUUGGGUACUCAUCUGAUCAUAGAUUUAAUAUUGGGAUGGGGGACCAAUACCAACCCAGUAGUAGUAAUGCAACUCUGGGUUACAGCAAUUGGCAGCUUACAGCAUCAGAGGGUGAUUUGACCCCUAGGCCUUAUAUCAAUGGAAAUUGAUGGUAGAUUAGGUGUCCCACUGAGCUGUAAAUAGUAAACAAAAGGAGUCAAAGCUGCUUGGAUGUGGCUAAUAGCUAGUUUUAUGAUCAAGUGUCUUUCUUAUGUUGUAAUCCUGUUAUCAGAAAUCAGAAGUUUUAACCUGAGGCAACCUUUUUUCUUUUUUUAAGAAAAAAGGUUGC